AACAGGAUUAGAUACCCUGGUAGUCCACGCCGUAAACGAUGUCGACUUGGAGGUUGUGCCCUUGAGGCGUGGCUUCCGGAGCUAACGCGUUAAGUCGACCGCCUGGGGAGUACGGCCGCAAGGUUAAAACUCAAAUGAAUUGACGGGGGCCCGCACAAGCGGUGGAGCAUGUGGUUUAAUUCGAUGCAACGCGAAGAACCUUACCUACUCUUGACAUCCAGAGAACUUUCCAGAGAUGGAUUGGUGCCUUCGGGAACUCUGAGACAGGUGCUGCAUGGCUGUCGUCAGCUCGUGUUGUGAAAUGUUGGGUUAAGUCCCGCAACGAGCGCAACCCUUAUCCUUUGUUGCCAGCGAUUCGGUCGGGAACUCAAAGGAGACUGCCAGUGAUAAACUGGAGGAAGGUGGGGAUGACGCCAAGUCAUCAUGGCCCUUACGAGUAGGGCUACACACGUGCUACAAUGGCAUAGACAAAGAGAAGCGACCUCGCGAGAGCAAGCGGACCUCAUAAAGUAUGUCGUAGUCCGGAUUGGAGUCUGCAACUCGACUCCAUGAAGUCGGAAUCGCUAGUAAUCGUGGAUCAGAAUGCCACGGUGAAUACGUUCCCGGGCCUUGUACACACCGCCCGUCACACCAUGGGAGUGGGUUGCAAAAGAAGUAGGUAGCUUAACCUUCGGGAGGGCGCUUACCACUUUGUGAUCCAUGACUGGGGUGAAGUCGUAACAAGGUAACC
rnacentral:rRNA from 1 species